rnacentral:rRNA from 1 species
UGGUGGAGUGAUUUGUCUGGUUAAUUCCGUUAACGAACGAGACCUCGACCUGCUAACUAGUCUUCAUAAAAUCCCCUUUAUUGUGGUUUGUGAAGUUUACUUCUUAGAGGGACUAUCGGUUUUAAGCCGGUGGAAGUUCGAGGCAAUAACA